UUGACGUUUUAAUUAGACGACCUUAACAGAAGAAAAUUUGAAUGACAACCCACGGGUUUGCAUCCCAUAUCUGAAGGAAUCUACAAUCAAAACAAGAAACUCAAAUUCAAAACCCAUCAUCAAAGUGGUAAAAAAAACUUUUGUUGCUUGCAGUCCUUGAAGGUAACAGUUUUUACAAAGCAAAAAGUAUAUUGUUGAUGAUAUAAUACAAUAUAACAGGCUAACGAUCCCCCGGGGACAAGACACAUCCAAAAGAUAUUACAGGUAUUGUCGGAAAUAGUUCGUAUGCCGGAGGUUAAGCGCAAAAAUGUCAAAGAAAAAAAAGUGUACUUUUGUAAGGGGUGUCUUCUAAGCCUCCGUUCAAGCGACGAAAUGAAAUGAGAAGAAAGGCGAGUUUAGGUAGCCUAAGCUCUUUAUUGUCCCUAAUGAUAUUUACGGUAAACAUAGGAUUCAAGAUUCACUCUUACCAGAACGAAGUGAAAGCUCUGGGCAGUACACUACAUCGGCGAGAUGGUCAUACUGUAACGUACCUGAGGCAGAGCUUCGAAGAGAGUGUCAAGAAGGGAGCGAACACCUUUGGCCAGCUUUACUAGCUUUAGAACUGUAACGUGACACAAGAAAGAAUAAAUAUGAAAGAUAUGUCAACUAA